GAUGAACGCUGGCGGCGUGCCUAAUACAUGCAAGUCGAGCGAACAGACGAGGAGCUUGCUCCUCUGACGUUAGCGGCGGACGGGUGAGUAACACGUGGAUAACCUACCUAUAAGACUGGGAUAACUUCGGGAAACCGGAGCUAAUAGCGGAUAAUAUAUUGAACCGCAGGGUUCAAUAGUGAAAGACGGUUUUGCUGUCACUUAUAGAUGGAUCCGCGCCGCAUUAGCUAGUUGGUAAGGUAACGGCUUACCAAGGGGACGAUGCGUAGCCGACCUGAGAGGGUGAUAGGCCACCUUGGAACUGAGACACGGUCCAGACUCCUACGGGAGGCAGCAGUAGGGAAUCUUCCGCAGUGGGCGAAAGCUUGACGGAGCAACGCCGCGUGAGUGAUGAAGGUCUUCGGAUCGUAAAGCUCUGUUAUUAGGGAAGAACAAAUGUGUAAGUAACUAUGCACGUCUUGACGGUACCUAAUCAGAAAGCCACGGCUAACUACGUG
rnacentral:rRNA from 1 species